rnacentral:misc_RNA from 1 species
UCCUUGAAAACACAUGCAGAUGGAGGGUAGGAACUGGCAAAAACAGCCUCUGAAUGUGGGCUGGAGACCUCAACAGACUUUUCCAAACCCAGCCUCCGAAGAGCUGAAUAAACAUUUUUGACAGAAGGCAGCAAAACUUCCCAGAGCUCAUGGUCGUCACCCCCCAAGAUCUCAUUUCCUACAGUAAUUCCUACAAUUUUAGUUCCAGGAAGGAAUGGCUGCACAUUUUCUUUGAUCCAACUGAUCGCGCG